CCUCAGGGCAAAGAUCCUAGGCAAGAGU
rnacentral:piRNA from 1 species